UCCGAUUUUCACAGGUAAUGACCGGUCAUGGCUGUUUUGGCGAAUACCUGUGUAAGAUCGGACGUGAAGCGAUGCCAGUUUGCCACCACUGUGGCGCGGAUCAGGAUUCUGCACAGCACACGCUAGAGUUGUGCUCGGCUUGGUACUCUGAGCGUCAAAUCCUGGUCCGAGAGAUCGGGCAAGAUCUUUCCUUGCGAGCUGUUGAAUCAGCGUGGAAAGCCAUGAUCUCCUUCUGUGAGACUGUCAUAUCCCAGAAGGAGUCAUCUGAGAGAAAUCGGGAGAGGACCGAUCUAUCUCGACGUGGAGGGCGAAGGCGUUGUCACUUAUUUGACCCUCCAAUGCCUGGGGUACAAUAAACUGGGCCUACCCCCCCUUUUCUGGCUGUAGACGUGUGAGAGGGGACUCGAACGUUUGUACUUGAACAGCCC
rnacentral:misc_RNA from 1 species